CUGUAUUAAAUUAAUAACUGUGCACACAGUUGUUUCUACAAAUUCAAUUAUACGUAACAUAAGUUAUCACUCGUGAUCAUGCAUUUGUCAAUGUGAUAACAAUGAAAUUUGAUUCGUUCUUAACCAGACACUAAUGUCAGACGCUUUCAAUGAACGGCCUGAGCAUGGAAUCCGAAACAAGUGAUUCCAACUUAGAGGAAGACAAAUAUAACGACAUAGAAGAAGAAGAUGCAGAUGAUCAACAAGAUAAAUACAUUCCUACAUUUCACAUCGAUUUCAUCCAAUUCCAGGCAGCUCAAAAUUCUGUACAAUUACAAAGAUGUCAAGAAUCGGACUACUUACUUCAAAGCAAAAGCUUGACAGUUUCUCUUCGUAAAUCGUGUAGAAAAUGUUGCUGCAUAAAGAGUUGUACAAUUUUAUGACUAAAAAAAACAUUUAGUUAGUUUAUUUAUAUAUCAUUGCUUAUCAUUUUAAUACUUCACAUUUAAUAUAAUAAAUCAUGGAUUUGUAAA